rnacentral:rRNA from 1 species
GACGAACGCUGGCGGCGUGCCUAAUACAUGCAAGUAGAACGCUGAAGGGGGAGCUUUCUUCUCUGGAUGAGUUGCGCACGGGUGAGUAACGCGUAGGGAACCUGCCUGUAAGCGGGGGAGAACUAUUGGAGACGAUAGCUAAUACCGCAUAAGAGAAGAUGUUGCAUGAGAUUUGCUUAAAAGGGACAAUUGCAUCACUACCAGAUGGACCUGCGUUGUCUUAGCUAGUUGGUGGGGUAAUGGCUCACCAAGGCGACGAUUCAUAGCCGACCUGGGAGGGGUGUCCGCCAACCUGGGACCGAGACAACGGCCAGGCCCCCAAGGGAGGCAGCCGGAGGGGAUCCUCGGCAAUGGACGGAAGGCUUACCGAGCCACCGCGCGUGAGUGAAGAAGGUUUUCGGGUCGGUAAGCUCUGGUGAAAGAGAAGAAAGAAUGGGGUAGUGGAAAGUUCACACUGUGACGGUAUCUUACCAGAAAGCGACGGCUAACUACGUG